rnacentral:tRNA from 1 species
CGGGGUGUAGCGCAGUCUGGUAGCGCAUCAGGUUUGGGACCAGAGGGUCGGGAGUUCGAAUCUCUCCACCCCGACCA